UUUUGUGUAAAUUUGAGAAAA
rnacentral:piRNA from 1 species